GUCUGGGUAGCUCAGUCGGUAGAGCGACCGACUUCAGCUCAGGUCAUGAUCUCACAGCUCGUGGGUUCGAGCCCCGCGUCGGGCU
rnacentral:tRNA from 1 species